ACCUGCGGAGGGAUCAUUAAAGAGUUAAAAACAACUCCUAAACCCAUGUGAAACCUACCUUUGUUGCCUCGGCAGGUCUGCAACUUACCCUGAGGGUACCUACCCUGUAGGUACCUUACCCGGUAGUUGCGGGCAUAACCUGCCGGUGGUCUACUAAACUCUGUUUACUAUGUCAUUCUGAAUAAUAUAACUAAAUAAGUUAAAACUUUCAACAACGGAUCUCUUGGUUCUGGCAUCGAUGAAGAACGCAGCGAAAUGCGAUAAGUAAUGUGAAUUGCAGAAUUCAGUGAAUCAUCGAAUCUUUGAACGCACAUUGCGCCCAUUAGUAUUCUAGUGGGCAUGCCUGUUCGAGCGUCAUUUCAACCCUUAAGCCCUGUUGCUUAGCGUUGGGAGCCUACAGAUACCCUCUGUAGUUCCUUAAAGUUAGUGGCGGAGUCGGUUUCACACUCUAGACGUAGUAAAUUUUAUCUCGCCUAUAGAUGAGCCGGUCCCUUGCCGUAAAACCCCCUAAUUUCUAAAGGUUGACCUCGGAUCAGGUAGGAAUACCCGCUGAACUUAAGCAUAUCAAUAAGCGGAGGAA
rnacentral:rRNA from 1 species